UGCAAAUCAUGUGAGUCUAUGUGGUAAAUACAGGGAUGUCCACACAACCAGCAACAUAUGAUCAGUGUCCUCUCCACAGUCACUGAGCACACAGGUCCUCACCAUGGGAUGGAGCUGGAUCACCCUCUUCCUGGUGACAGCAGCUACAGGUGUCCACUCCCAGGUCCAGCUGCAGCAGUCUGGGGCUGAGCUGGUGAAGCCUGGGUCCUCAGUGAACUUGUCCUGCAAGACUUCUGGCUACACCUUCACUAGCUAUCUUAUGAGCUGGGUAAAACAGAAGCCAGCACAGGGCCUGGAGUGGAUUGCAUGGAUUAAUCCUUCUCAUGGUAAUACUGACUACAAUCAGAAAUUCAAGAGCAAGGUCACACUCACUGCAGAGAAAUCCUCCAGCACAGUCUACAUGGAGCUCAGCAGCCUGACAUCUGAGGACUCUGCAGUCUAUUACUGUGCAAGACACAGUGUUUCAACCACAUCAUGA